rnacentral:rRNA from 1 species
GAUUCCUACGGGAGGCAGCAGUAAGGAAUAUUGGUCAAUGGACGCAAGUCUGAACCAGCCAUGCCGCGUGGAGGAUUAAGGCCCUCUGGGUUGUAAACUCCUUUUAUCUGGGAAGAAAAUUCACGCAUUCCUGAGGAAUUGACGGUACCAGAGGAAUAAGCACCGGCUAACUCGGUG